rnacentral:rRNA from 1 species
UGGGGAAUCUUGCGCAAUGCGCGAAAGCGUGACGCAGCAACGCCGCGUGGGGGGAAGAAGGCCUUCGGGUUGUAAACCCCUUUCCUAGGAGGGACGGAAGGUUCGGCGGUGAAUAGCCGUCCGGACUGACGGUACCUCCACAAGAAGCCCGGCUAACUACGUGCCAGCAGCCGCGGUAAUACGUAGGGGGCUAGCGUUGUCCGGAAUCAUUGGGCGUGAAGCGCGCGUAGGCGGCCCGGUAAGUCCGCUCUGAAAGUCCAGGGCUCAACCCUGGAAAGCGGGUGGAUACUGCCGGGCUAGAAUCCGGAAGAGGCGAGUGGAAUUCCUGGUGUAGCGGUGGAAUGCGCAGAUAUCAGGAGGAACACCAAUAGCGAAGGCAGCUCGCUGGGACGGUAUUGACGCUAAGGCGCGAAGCGUGGGGAGCGAACAGGAUUAGAUACCCUGGUAGUCCACGCCGUAACGAUGGGCACUAGGUGUGGGAGGUGUCGACUCCUUCCGCGCCGACGCUAACGC